rnacentral:rRNA from 1 species
UUGUCCUUAGUUGCCAGCACGUAAUGGUGGGGAACGUCUAAGGAGACCGCCGGUGACAAACCGGAGGAAGGUGGGGGAGUGACGUCAAGUCAUCAUGGCCCUUACGGCCAGGGCUACACACGUACUACAAUGGUAGGGGACAGGGGGCUGCAAGCCGGCGACGGUAAGCCAAUCCCAGAAACCCUAUCUCAGUCCGGAUUGGAGUCUGCAACUCGACUCCAUGAAGUCGGAAUCGCUAGUAAUCGCAGAUCAGCAUUGCUGCGGUGAA